rnacentral:rRNA from 1 species
UACGUAGGGUGCGAGCGUUGUCCGGAAUUAUUGGGCGUAAAGAGCUUGUAGGCGGUUUGUCGCGUCUGCUGUGAAAAUCCGGGGCUCAACCCCGGACUUGCAGUGGGUAUGGGCAGACUAGAGUGUGGUAGGGGAGACUGGAAUUCCUGGUGUAGCGGUGAAAUGCGCAGAUAUCAGGAGGAACACCAAUGGCGAAGGCAGGUCUCUGGGCAGUUACUGACGCUGAGGAGCGAAAGCAUGGGUAGCGAACAGGAUUAGAUA